AUUGAACGCUGGCGGCAGGCCUAACACAUGCAAGUCGAGCGGAUGAGUGGAGCUUGCUCCAUGAUUCAGCGGCGGACGGGUGAGUAAUGCCUAGGAAUCUGCCUGGUAGUGGGGGACAACGUUUCGAAAGGAACGCUAAUACCGCAUACGUCCUACGGGAGAAAGUGGGGGAUCCUCGGACCUCACGCUAUCAGAUGAGCCUAGGUCGGAUUAGCUAGUUGGUGAGGUAAAGGCUCACCAAGGCGACGAUCCGUAACUGGUCUGAGAGGAUGAUCAGUCAAACUGGAACUGAGACACGGUCCAGACUCCUACGGGAGGCAGCAGUGGGGAAUAUUGGACAAUGGGCGAAAGCCUGAGCCAGCCAUGCCGCGUGUGUGAAGAAGGUCUUCGGAUUGUAAAGCACUUUAAGUUGGGAGGAAGGGCAGUAAGUUAAUACCUUGCUGUUUUGACGUUACCAACAGAAUAAGCACCGGCUAACUUCGUGCCAGCAGCCGCCGCAGUAA
rnacentral:rRNA from 1 species